rnacentral:rRNA from 1 species
AGCAAUCCUGGUGGCGAGUGGCGAACGGGUGAGUAAUACAUCGGAACGUGCCCAAUCGUGGGGGAUAACGCAGCGAAAGCUGUGCUAAUACCGCAUACGAUCUACGGAUGAAAGCNGGGGACCGCAAGGCCUUGCGCGAAUGGAGCGGCCGAUGGCAGAUUAGGUAGUUGGUGAGGUAAAGGCUCACCAAGCCUUCGAUCUGUAGCUGGUCUGAGAGGACGACCAGCCACACUGGGACUGAGACACGGCCCANACUCCUACGGGAGGCAGCAGUGGGGAAUUUUGGACAAUGGGCGAAAGCCUGAUCCAGCAAUGCCGCGUGCAGGAUGAAGGCCUUCGGGUUGUAAACUGCUUUUGUACGGAACGAAACGGUUCUUUCUAAUAAAGAGAGCUAAUGACGGUACCGUAAGAAUAAGCACCGGCUAACUACGUGCCAGCAGCCGCGGUAAUACGUAGGGUGCAAGCGUUAAUCGGAAUUACUGGGCGUAAAGCGUGCGCAGGCGGUUAUGUAAGACAGUUGUGAAAUCCCCGGGCUCAACCUGGGAAUUGCAUCUGUGACUGCAUAGCUAGAGUACGGUAGAG